UACCUGCUUUUCACUUUGCCAAUUGGACUCAUGUCUUUAUUGGUCAUUCAAGUGGGGCAAAGGAAAUAUCCUUUUAAAACCCAGGCUCCUGUCGGAGGAAACAAAU